GACGAACGCUGGCGGCGUGCUUAACACAUGCAAGUCGAACGGAAAGGCCCUGCUUUUUUGUGGUGCUCGAGUGGCGAACGUGUGAGUAACACGUGAGUAACCUUCCCUUGACUUUGGGAUAACUUCAGGAAACUGGGGCUACUACCUGAUAGGUGCUCCUGCUGCAUGGUGGGGGUUGGAACGUUUCGUCGGUUGAGGAUGGACUUGCGGCUUAGUAGCUUGUUGGUGGGGUAGUGGCUUACCAAGGCUUUGACGACUAGCCGGCCUGAGAGGGUGACCGGGCACAGUGGGACUGGGAAACGGCCCAGACGGAAAAGGGAGGCAGGAGUGGGGAACAGUGCAAAAUGGGCGGAAGGCGGAUGCAGGAACGCCGGGUGGGGGAGGACGGUCUGUGGGUAGGAAACGGAGUAAGCUUAUAACGAAGCGUGAGUGAGGGUAAAGGGUAAAGAAGCACGGCCUAAUUACGU
rnacentral:rRNA from 1 species